rnacentral:rRNA from 1 species
UACGAAGGGGGCUAGCGUUGCUCGGAAUCACUGGGCGUAAAGGGUUCGUAGGCGGUGCGGCAAGUCGGGAGUGAAAUCUCUGGGCUUAACCCAGAGGCUGCUUCCGAAACUGCUGUGCUUGAGUGUGGGAGAGGCGCGUGGAAUUGCAGGUGUAGCGGUGAAAUGCGUAGAUAUCGGGAGGAACACCAGUGGCGAAGGCGGCUCACUGGCCCGGUACUGACGCUGAGGCACGAAAGCGUGGGGAGCAAACAGG